rnacentral:rRNA from 1 species
CGGCGGACGGGUGAGUAACACGUGGAUAACCUACCUAUAAGACUGGGAUAACUUCGGGAAACCGGAGCUAAUACCGGAUAAUAUAUUGAACCGCAUGGUUCAAUGGUGAAAGACGGUUUUGCUGUCACUUAUAGAUGGAUCCGCGCCGCAUUAGCUAGUUGGUAAGGUAACGGCUUACCAAGGCAACGAUGCGUAGCCGACCUGAGAGGGUGAUCGGCCACACUGGAACUGAGACACGGUCCAGACUCCUACGGGAGGCAGCAGCC